ACUUAUCCCCAUUCCAGAUUGAAUAUACCCGAUCUCGUCUGAUCUCGGAAGUUAAGCAAUCUCGGGCUUGGUUAGUACUUGGAUGGGUGACCGCUUGGGAAUACCAAGUGUGAUAAGCA
rfam:Ciona savignyi cont_64076, whole genome shotgun sequence.